AAAGAAUUAGUUAAAGUAUAAUUUGAGUUUGUCGAACUCAAGUUGCCCUUGCGGCAUUCUUUU
rnacentral:tRNA from 2 species